CCUACGGGUGGCAGCAGUGGGGAAUCUUGCGCAAUGCGCGACAGCGUGACGCAGCAACGCCGCGUGGGGGAAGAAGGCCUUCGGGUUGUAAACCCCUUUCAGGAGGGACGAAGCCCGGGCGGUGAACAGCCGACUCGGGUGACGGUACCUCCAGAAGAAGCCCCGGCUAACUACGUGCCAGCAGCCGCGGUAAUACGUAGGGGGCAAGCGUUGUCCGGAAUCAUUGGGCGUAAAGCGCGUGUAGGCGGUCCGGUAAGUCGGUUGUGAAAGUCGAGGGCUCAACCCUCGAAUGCCGAUCGAUACUGCCGGGCUAGAGUCCGGAAGAGGCGAGUGGAAUUCCUGGUGUAGCGGUGAAAUGCGCAGAUAUCAGGAGGAACACCGAUGGCGAAGGCAGCUCGCUGGGACGGUACUGACGCUGAGACGCGAAAGCGUGGGGAGCA
rnacentral:rRNA from 1 species